UACGAAGGGGCUAGGCGUUGCUCGGAAUCACUGGGCGUAAAGGGUGCGUAGGCGGGUCUUUAAGUCAGGGGUGAAAUCCUGGAGCUCAACUCCAGAACUGCCUUUGAUACUGAGGAUCUUGAGUUCGGGAGAGGUGAGUGGAACUGCGAGUGUAGAGGUGAAAUUCGUAGAUAUUCGCAAGAACACCAGUGGCGAAGGCGGACUCACUGGCCCGAUACUGACGCUGAGGCACGAAAGCGUGGGGAG
rnacentral:rRNA from 1 species